GACGAACGCUGGCGGCGUGCCUAAUACAUGCAAGUUGAGCGCUGAAGGUUGGUACUUGUACCAACUGGAUGAGCAGCGAACGGGUGAGUAACGCGUGGGGAAUCUGCCUUUGAGCGGGGGACAACAUUUGGAAACGAAUGCUAAUACCGCAUAAAAACUUUAAACACAAGUUUUAAGUUUGAAAGAUGCAAUUGCAUCACUCAAAGAUGAUCCCGCGUUGUAUUAGCUAGUUGGUGAGGUAAAGGCUCACCUAGGCGAUGAUACAUAGCCGACCUGAGAGGGUGAUCGGCCACAUUGGGACUGAGACACGGCCCAAACUCCUACGGGAGGCAGCAGUAGGGAAUCUUCGGCAAUGGACGAAAGUCUGACCGAGCAACGCCGCGUGAGUGAAGAAGGUUUUCGGAUCGUAAAACUCUGUUGGUAGAGAAGAACGUUGGUGAGAGUGGAAAGCUCAUCAAGUGACGGUAACUACCCAGAAAGGGACGGCUAACUACGUG
rnacentral:rRNA from 1 species